UCGGGAAUUUUGGGCAAUGGGCGAAAGCCUGACCCAGCAACGCCGCGUGAAGGAUGAAGUAUUUCGGUAUGUAAACUUCGAAAGAAUAGGAAGAAUAAAUGACGGUACUAUUUAUAAGGUCCGGCUAACUACGUGCCAGCAGCCGCGGUAAUACGUAGGGACCAAGCGUUGUUCGGAUUUACUGGGCGUAAAGGGCGCGUAGGCGGCAAUUCAAGUCAUCUGUGAAAUCUCCGGGCUUAACUCGGAACGGUCAGAUGAUACUGCUUUGCUAGAGUGCAGAAGGGGCAAUCGGAAUUCUUGGUGUAGCGGUGAAAUGCGUAGAUAUCAAGAGGAACACCUGAGGUGAAGACGGGUUGCUGGGCCGACACUGACGCUCAUGCACGAAAGCGUGGGGAGCAAACAGGAUUAGAUACCCGCGUAGUCCCUGAGCGGGCUGGCAAGGCGCAU
rnacentral:rRNA from 1 species